rnacentral:rRNA from 1 species
GACGAACGCUGGCGGCGUGCUUAACACAUGCAAGUCGAACGGAAAGGCCCUGCUUUUGUGGGGCGCUCGAGUGGCGAACGGGUGAGUAACACGUGAGUAACCUGCCCUUGACUUUGGGAUAACGUCAGGAAACUGGGGCUAAUACCGGAUAGGAGCUCCUGCUGCAUGGUGGGGGUUGGAAAGUUUCGGCGGUUGGGGAUGGACUCGCGGCUUAUCAGCUUGUUGGUGGGGUAGUGGCUUACCAAGGCUUUGACGGGUAGCCGGCCUGAGAGGGUGACCGGCCACAUUGGGACUGAGAUACGGCCCAGACUCCUACGGGAGGCAGCAGUGGGGAAUAUUGCACAAUGGGCUGAAGCCUGAUGCAGCAACGCCGCGUGCGGGAUGACGGCCUUCGGGUUGUAAACCGCUUUCGCCUGUGACGAAGCGUGAGUGACGGUAAUGGGUAAAGAAGCACCGGCUAACUACGUG